CCUACGGGUGGCAGCAGUCGAGAAUCUUUCACAAUGGGGGAAACCCUGAUGGUGCGACGCCGCGUGGGGGAAUGAAGGUCUUCGGAUUGUAAACUCCUGUCAUGUGGGAGCAAAUUAAUAAGAUAGUACCACAAGAGGAAGAGACGGCUAACCCUGUGCCAGCAGCCGCGGUAAUACAGAGGUGUCAAGCGUUGUUCGGAAUCACUGGGCGUAAAGCGUGCGUAGGCUGUUUCGUAAGUCGUGUGUGAAAGGCGCGGGCUCAACCCGCGGACGGCACAUGAUACUGCGAGACUAGAGUAGGGGAGGGGGAACGGGAAUUCGCGGUGUAGCAGUGAAAUGCGUAG
rnacentral:rRNA from 1 species